GAAAAGAUAGCUAAGUGGUCAAAAGCAGUAGACUGUAAAUCUAUUGAAUUAUUCUUCGUAGGUUCAAAUCCUACUCUUUUCA
rnacentral:tRNA from 1 species